UACGUAGGGAGCAAGCGUUGUCCGGAAUCAUUGGGCGUAAAGCGCGCGUAGGUGGCCCGGUCAGCGUGCGGUGAAAGCUCGGGGCUCAACCCCGAGUCGGCCGUGCGAACUGCUGGGCUUGAGCACUGUAGAGGCAGGCGGAAUUCCGGGUGUAGCGGUGGAAUGCGUAGAGAUCCGGAAGAACACCGGUGGCGAAGGCGGCCUGCUGGGCAGUGGCUGACACUGAGGCGCGACAGCGUGGGGAGCAAACAGG
rnacentral:rRNA from 1 species